GACCUUCGGGCUCGAAGCUUGGGAACUAGUAUUCAGGGAAAGAUAAAAUGGCGGCUUACGGCGGCGAAGGAAAUCUCAGUAGUUUAAUAUUUUAGCGUGAAAAGGCUUGGGUGUUGUGAUCUGGUUCUCAAGUAAAAAAAAAAUCACGGUCUACAAUGGCCCUACCACCUUUUGAACAACAAGAAAACAUUGAAACGGUGGUAAAAAGCAGCAAGUUUCGAAGUCUAAACGAAAGAUGGGUGGUCAUUAUCCAUUACUUUUGGAAGUCGAUGCUGAUGAGAAAGAAAAAAUGUUUAUGAUUAUUUCUUCUCUCGAACAUUUUACUAUUUAGGUACCAAAUAAUCUUGAUACUGAAGAUCAUUGCACCCAUUAUGAAAAAAUUACCCUUGAUUGCUUUGUCAACUGGAUUGUAUAAUGUAAUAUACCUUGUGAUUUGUGGGAUUUUCACAAGUAAACUAGAAAUACUUGAAGAGGGUAAUGAUGUACUUAAUGCAGAGCAUUUGAUACAAAGUCUGCUUUGCUGUAAUCUACCUGAAGGUGCUUUUUAUAUGCUAGUAAGACUUGCACAGCCCAGUCAAAAUGUUUUUGAGUAGUAGACAAGCUGGCUGUAGUAAUUAUAGGUAGCAGAGGCCAAACCUCUUCCUGAAAAGCAGUCUGAAAAGUGUGAAGUUAGCGGAAGGUACUUCAUUGUAGGCAGCCAAAUUGUAAGCUGCCAGCCCAUUUUGAGUGAGCAGUAAAACUCAAGAUUGGCUAUUUUAGCUAAUUUUAUUGAGAACCAAAUUCCCAGCAACGGGCACAUUUUUACUGGGCUAUUUGUUAUUUAACUACUUAGUAAUAUUCUUAUUAAAAUUUACUGCAUUCCUUUCUAAUAAUUUGCUGCUGAUUGUAUGCUGUAUAUAGCUUAUGAUUUGUGUGAUUUUCACAAGUAAAUUAGAAAUACCUGAAGAUGGUAAUGAUGUACUAGAUAAUGUACUUGAUGCAAAGCUAUUUUGGUGCAAAGUGUGUGCCUUGUCCGUAGGUGAUUUUGCAUGCUAAUAAGACUUGUAAUUCAAAUAAUACACAUCAGCUGGAGUGGGAAUAUUAAAAGAAAAAUAAUAAUAUUUAGCUAUACCAAGUUCUGGUUUUAUGUCCAAAUUAAGCACUUAAUUGAAGAUCACUGCACUGCUCAGGUCCAGAAGGCUGAAAGAGUACUGUCUGCUGUUAGUUUGAUUUUUGUCAUUUCUAUUGAUUUAUUUUAUUUAUCAAUGUUUCUUUGAAUUGUAAUUCAUUGAUCUCUUUCAAUAGUGCAGGUUCGCUCAUGUAACCUAAUCUCCCACAUAUGUAUGUAUGUAUGUAUGUAUGAGCUCAGUCGAAAUGUUUUUGAGUGGAAGGCAAGCUGGUGAUAGUAAUAGGCAGCAGAGGCUGAACCUUGUCUUGAAUGGAAGUGUGAAAAGUGUGAAGUUAGUGGCAGCUAUAUUGUGGCAGGCAGCCAAAUUGUCGGCUGUGGCACAUUUUGACUGGGCUGAUUGUGUGUAGUAUAUAUGUGCACUUCUUUUAGGGUGUUAAACAGGUUAAAGUACCAAGAAAUCCUCUGUGAUAACUUGAUAAUUCAAGAUGUAAAAAUUUUAAAUAAUAAGGUAAAGCUUGAUCAUUCUUAA